CUGGCAAUAUUUUCAGGCGGAGCUCAGUCCCGUCUCUGCUCCGGAGUGCAAUUUGCCGAGAUUG
rnacentral:snoRNA from 1 species